AAUUUUUCUAACCGAAUAUUGAAUUUAAAAUCCACGAAAUCAUAUCGAACUCGAUUGGAAAUUUUACUCAAACCGAAGAUACCAUGAAAAUGGGAAAUACGGCAACAGCAAAGUA
rnacentral:rRNA from 1 species